rnacentral:rRNA from 1 species
GUGGGGAAUUUUGGACAAUGGGCGCAAGCCUGAUCCAGCAAUGCCGCGUGCAGGAAGAAGGCCUUCGGGUUGUAAACUGCUUUUGUACGGAACGAAAAGGCUCUGGUUAAUACCUGGGGCUCAUGACGGUACCGUAAGAAUAAGCACCGGCUAACUACGUGCCAGCAGCCGCGGUAAUACGUAGGGUGCAAGCGUUAAUCGGAAUUACUGGGCGUAAAGCGUGCGCAGGCGGUUUUGUAAGACAGACGUGAAAUCCCCGGGCUCAACCUGGGGAUGGCGUUGGUGACUGCAAAGCUGGAGUGCGGCAGAGGGGGAUGGAAUUCCGCGUGUAGCAGUGAAAUGCGUAGAUAUGCGGAGGAACACCGAUGGCGAAGGCAAUCCCCUGGGCCUGCACUGACGCUCAUGCACGAAAGCGUGGGGAGCAAACAGGAUUAGAUACCCUUGUAGUCU